rnacentral:rRNA from 1 species
GAAUUCGCCCUUAGAGUUUGAUCCUGGCUCAGGGACGAACGCUGGCGGCGCGCCUAACACAUGCAAGUCGAACGAGCGAGAGAGAGCUUGCUUUCUCGAGCGAGUGGCGAACGGGUGAGUAACGCGUGAGGAACCUGCCUCAAAGAGGGGGACAACAGUUGGAAACGACUGCUAAUACCGCAUAAGCCCACAGCUCGGCAUCGAGCAGAGGGAAAAGGAGCAAUCCGCUUUGAGAUGGCCUCGCGUCCGAUUAGCUAGUUGGUGAGGUAAUGGCCCACCAAGGCAACGAUCGGUAGCCGGACUGAGAGGUUGAACGGCCACAUUGGGACUGAGACACGGCCCAGACUCCUACGGGAGGCAGCAGUGGGGAAUAUUGCACAAUGGGGGAAACCCUGAUGCAGCGACGCCGCGUGGAGGAAGAAGGUCUUCGGAUUGUAAACUCCUGUUGUUGAGGAAGAUAAUGACGGUACUCAACAAGGAAGUGACGGCUAACUACGUGCCAGCAGCCGCGGUAAAACGUAGGUCACAAGCGUUGUCCGGAAUUACUGGGUGUAAAGGGAGCGCAGGCGGGAAGACAAGUUGGAAGUGAAAUCUAUGGGCUCAACCCAUAAACUGCUUUCAAAACUGUUUUUCUUGAGUAGUGCAGAGGUAGGCGGAAUUCCCGGUGUAGCGGUGGAAUGCGUAGAUAUCGGGAGGAACACCAGUGGCGAAGGCGGCCUACUGGGCACCAACUGACGCUGAGGCUCGAAAGUGUGGGUAGCAAACAGGAUUAGAUACCCUGGUAGUCCACACCGUAAACGAUGAUUACUAGGUGUGGGAGGAUUGACCCCUUCAGUGCCGCAGUUAACACAAUAAGUAAUCCACCUGGGGAGUACGACCGCAAGGUUGAAACUCAAAGGAAUUGACGGGGGCCCGCACAAGCAGUGGAGUAUGUGGUUUAAUUCGACGCAACGCGAAGAACCUUACCAAGUCUUGACAUCCUGCGACGAUGCUGGAAACAGUAUUUUCCUUCGGGACGCAGAGACAGGUGGUGCAUGGUUGUCGUCAGCUCGUGUCGUGAGAUGUUGGGUUAAGUCCCGCAACGAGCGCAACCCUUACUGUCAGUUACUACGCAAGAGGACUCUGGCAGGACUGCCGUUGACAAAACGGAGGAAGGUGGGGAUGACGUCAAAUCAUCAUGCCCUUUAUGACUUGGGCUACACACGUACUACAAUGGCGUUAAACAAAGAGAAGCAAGACCGCGAGGUGGAGCAAAACUCAGAAACAACGUCCCAGUUCGGACUGCAGGCUGCAACUCGCCUGCACGAAGUCGGAAUUGCUAGUAAUCGUGGAUCAGCAUGCCACGGUGAAUACGUUCCCGGGCCUUGCACACACAGCCCGUCA